CCGCGGUAAUUCGGAGGGUGCGAGCGUUAAUCGGAAUUACUGGGCGUAAAGCGCGCGUAGGCGGUUUGUUAAGUCAGCUGUGAAAGCCCCGGGCUCAACCUGGGAACUGCAGUUGAUACUGGCCGACUAGAGUACGAGAGAGGGAGGUAGAAUUCCAUGUGUAGCGGUGAAAUGCGUAGAUAUAUGGAGGAAUACCGGUGGCGAAGGCGGCCUCCUGGCUCGAUACUGACGCUGAGGUGCGAAAGCGUGGGGAUCAAACAGGAUUAGAUACCCUGGUAGUCCACGCCGUAAACGAUGUCUACUAGCCGUUGGGAGACUUGAUUUCUUAGUGGCGCAGCUAACGCAAUAAGUAGACCGCCUGGGGAGUACGGCCGCAAGGUUAAAACUCAAAGGAAUUGACGG
rnacentral:rRNA from 1 species